GUAUUGAUAUUUUGUCUGCAUGGAUGUCCGGGUGACACGGUCAGAUUCCCUUGAACAGAAAUUACAGACAGUUGUGAGCUACCAUGUGGUUGCUGGGAAUUGAACCCAAGUCCUCUGGACCUGGUCCACUGUUCAGCCAGUGAGUGCUCUUAACCACUAGACUAUCACUCCAGCCUGAAAAGUGACUCUUUAGUUCUUUCAUGUCUCCAGGAAAUGGCCCUAUAGAUCUAAAGAGCAGUGUGUGUGUGUGUGUGUGACCACAUGAAGGGCAGAGGUCUAUGGUAGCUUUUCAUUUUAUUGUUUAAGACUGUCCCUCACUGAACCUGGAGUUUCCAGUGAGCCCCUGAGAUCUGCCUGGCUCUGCCCUCCCCCAGCCCAGCCCCCACCCAGGCACAUGCCACUCUUCCUGGCUUUAGCAUAGAUGCUAAGAAUCCAAACGGAGACCAUCAGGUUUGUAGUGCAAGCACCUUACCCACUGAGCUAUAUCCCCCAAUCCAUGGAGAACAUAUUUUUAAGGCCAGAGGGUACUGCCAAUUGUAAAAGGCAUAUUCAAAAAUCUAAGAAGCAUGCUCAGAGGUUUUAUGUAAACAACCGUGCUCCGACCAGAAGGCAUCAAACACGGCUGUAAUCCUAGCACUUGGCAGUGGGGGGCAGAAAGGUCAGAAAUCUAAGGCCAAUCUCAGUACACAGUGAGUUCAAGAGCAGCCCCAGCCCGGGGCUACAUAACACCCCACCCUGAAAACAGAACAACGCCUCCCAAACCAACCCUCACCAAAACAACCCUUGAGUCCUCGGGUUUACCCGAAUUAAAAAUUGAGCUUGUGCCUCAACCGAGGUGCUCAAAGGCCAAGAGAGCGGGUGAAACAGCACACAUCCCAAAGUCCCUUUCUCAUCUCACCCUGAGCCUGCCUUCACGGAGGAUCCAUACCGGAAGAUCUCAGCAUCAAAGGGCAACAACCCUGGCGUUAAAACACAUCGGAUCAAAUCUGAUAUUUACAAUGUAGUCAAAGGCACAGUGGCAUUGAAAAACAAAACGCUGGGAGAUGUAUAGUAAAAGAUUCGUUGUAAUCAUUAAUCUGGUUUUCAGCUAGGAGAAUUAACUCUUGAGAGAUGAUGCACACAGCAGGCCUUCGGAACCGGUGUGCUAGUUACUAGGGAGACCACGCCUCCUUCAGACCACGCCUCCUUCCCGCAGUUUACAUCUUUCCGGCCUUCUUGCCCAUCUGCGCCGGCACUCGGAGGAUGUUGGGGGUCUCCUCCAUGACUCUGACUAGCAGGUUGUCGAUGUAGUCCUCCAGCUCCCGCACCUGAAACUCCUUCUUGCUGAUGGUCUCCUUCUGUUUGAGGACUAGCUGGAUCAGCUCAUCGUGGGUCAGCUGCGCGUAGGCAAAGGCGGGAUCCGAGGGCUGGUAUUUCUUUGGAGAGGGAAGGAAGAGGGAAGGGGUUAAGAGUCAGCAGAGACAGGAACUCGCAGAGAUCAACCUGCCCCUGCUUCCCAGGUGUUAAAACACGCGCCACCACACCCGGCUUAGAAAGCCACUUUCCACAAAGGAUGAAACCAGGCGGCUGACGAGAAGAGAGAAGGACUUUGGAGUCUGUAGAGUAGACACACUCCCUGAGACGGAACCCGUGUUGGACACCGCUCCAGUCGUGAAGAACCUGAGACUAGACAGGCCACGGACCCAGGGAAAGCCAAAUACUCUGCUAAAGGGACAGAGCAAUAGAAGGACUCCUAAUGACACUCUGCCAUACCUAAGGUCUUGAGAAGUCCCAGCAACUGGACCAUCCCUCCCCUCGGGGCUCCGGGAACCCUGUGGAAGAGGAGGUAGGAAGAGUAUAAGGGGCAGAGGGAAGUACAGCAAGGCAAGAAGGACUGACAUGCCUGUGUUCCCACAGACGGGCAGCAUGCUCAGGUUCAAGCCAGGUGCCUCCCAGCACGGAGAGAGGAAGCAGACACCAGGCCCCACCUUAACUCAAAAAGCCAUCUCCAACUGACAAACAUUUACAAAGGAAACAUUAGUUUCUCCAAGUGAGUCUCCUUGGGUACACAAACCCACUUGAUGCGCAGGCCCCAUGCCCAGUGGUAGAUAGCCAACACAAAAUGAACAAUAGUAUUUUUGUAGAUUUUUUUUUUUUUGGUCUCUUAUUGCUUUAUCUGGAGGUUUUAUUUUUAAACCCUGCUGGUCAUUUGCUUAUAUAUUAUUGUUUCCAAUUUUGUGUUUUUAUUUUCUCUCUGUGUGUGUGUAUACUUUUCUGUUUUAUUCUGGCUUUUGUUUUGUUUUUACUUAUCUGUAUGUUCUGUAAAGAGAGGGGGGCAUGGAGUUGGAUGGGCCGGGAGGAUCUGGGAGGAAAGGAGGGAGGGGGAACCAUGAUCAAAUACAUUACAUGAAAAAACAUUAUUCAAAAGAAUAAAAAAUGAUUAAGAGCUGUUGAGAAAGAUAUCUACCUGACCACAACCUCUGGCCUCUACACGCCUGCACACACAAACAUGUGCACACACGCACGUGACUCACACACAGAC
rnacentral:lncRNA from 1 species